rnacentral:lncRNA from 1 species
GUACGUUUGCGGGUGACUUAUGACUAGUUAAUUACCAAAUGCAGUAACAGUCAAAUAAUAAAUUAACAAUAUUUACAUUUAAUAUAAUUAUAAAAUAUCAAAAAUUAUAAAACUAUAAUAAAUAUAAAAUUUACAUUUAGAAAGUUAUAAUUUUAAUUUUUGAAAAUUUAUUGAAAUUGUUUUUAUUAUAAAAUUUUAUAAUAUUAACUAAAAUAUAAUAGAUAUAUUUUAAUAUUUUCAUAAUUUCAAUUUUCAAUUUUUUAUUAAAUAUUUUUACUUUUUUAUAUAUAUAUAUUGUUUUAAAAAAAAAGAAAAAAAAUUUACCCUCCCACAACCGCCCGCAACCGCAAACGCUAGCUGGAGCCAGCUUUUGAAUUUAUGAGAUACGGAGCGGUUUGAAAUGGUUUAGAGCGAUUUAAGUGAUUGUUGCAAACCGCCGACAACCGCUACCAACCGCAAAAGCUGUGUUUGCGGGUGGUAGCGGGAAAACCAGUUGUCCCCUAAAUGUGUUUAGCUAUAAAAUGAAUAAAUGGUUGUUAACAUUUUUACCCCAAAAUUUUGAAUAGAUGGAUAAAUAAUAUAUAAACAUCUAUUUUGUUUGGACGUCUAUUUUGUUAAUACCAAUUCUU